UACGUAGGGUGCGAGCGUUGCCCGGAUUUAUUGGGCGUAAAGGGCGCGUAGGCGGCUCUGCACGUCCGUUGUGAAAUCGCCCGGCUCAACUGGGCGGGGUCAGCGGAUACGGCGGAGCUUGAGCAAGCUAGGGGGCAAUGGAAUUCCCGGUGUAGUGGUGGAAUGCGUAGAUAUCAGGAGGAACACCGGUGGCGAAGGCGGGUCUCUGGGCAGUAACUGACGCUGAGGAGCGAAAGCGUGGGGAGCGAACAGG
rnacentral:rRNA from 1 species